UCCUUGUCAUGCUUUUUUGUAGUAAUGCUUGUUAGGGGUUUUAUCGGAAAGGGUUGUGAUAAAACUUUUAAGGCUUAUCCAUCUGAGAACUUUGAUAUUUGGUCAUAGAAAGAGUAUACGCAGAGAGAAAUCGACGAUGGAUCCAGGUGAACAGACAAUCAAUCAAAAAAAAUCCAGAAAAUUCGUACCCAACCCUGAAUUCAUCUUGAGUGACUGAAAGUGGUGAACUUCUUGUGCUUAAUUGGUUGAUUUCCAUGGAGAUUUGGAAGUAAUUGAAAAAGGGGCUUCUUUAUUCUUGAGCAAUGAAUUGAAGCCAGUUCAGUUUCCAGCAAGUUUGAUACUUAUGCAACUUGAUCUAGCCCAGGACUUCUACUGAUAAGUUGUUUUACUGUAUGACUAGGUGUCUCUGGAUUCAAUUGGAGGAUUAUGAAGAUUGAGGUUUGAGUAGUGGUUUGAGGUGGGAAUUUACAUUACUCUUUUGCAACCAUUAAUGAUUUUACAAAGUUAUUUUUAUGCACUUUAACAAAACUCAUGCAUCGUUGGAUUUUGAUUCCCUAAACUCCGUUGAUUCUCUUGGCCCUUCUUUUACAUAGAAAGGACCUAAAACAUUGCUUGCUUGUAUGAAUGUUAUGGGAAACAAGAGUUUCCAUCUGUGGUAUAUAGGAACUCUGCUCCUUCGUUUAUAUCUACUCACUUUCGAGCUAUGCUUAAUAGGUGCGGGACGAGUCACCAUAUAGCUAUCUAGGUGCGGGACGAGUCACCAUAUUGUAUAUUGUUUGGAAGGAGUUAGUUCCGUAUACCUGAUUAUUUCGUUGCGUUUGGCUUCUUUUAAUGUUUGAAGUACAUGCUGUUUAUUUUCAGUAUGUUUGGUAAAAUUGCAUUGUUUAAAAUUCAACUUUAAUGAUUUCAUUUGAGAAAUGUAAGUGCCUACUGAGCUUGUUUAGGUCACUCCUUCCAUCUCUUUUAGUGGCAGGUAACCUCAAUGCAAGUGGCGUAGACUCGGCUGAAUGAGAGAUUAAUAUUUGGCUCGAGUAAGGUGUUUGGUUUGUGUAUAUGGGGGUAACUGCCGGUACUUUUUGUGGGUAAUUCUGUAUAGCUAGUUCUUGAAGGUGUUAUGGUUUUUGUAUUUUUUGCUUGUAUGUAAAGUACUAUUGUAAUUACUGUAUAGUGUAUAAUUAUCUAUCACAAAAACACCGUAUGUAAAUAGUUAGUAAUGUUAUGAAUAUAGCCAUGUUUGGGUCUAGGCAUGUUACACUUGUGCUGAAGGUUUCAUUUUAAGGAUUGAGGUUUUAAUUCCAGCAAGCUAAAUGUUUAAAGUCAAUCAGUUUCUGUUGUAGCCUAGCUUGGGGUAAAAUUUUGUACUGUUUGUUCACCUCUUUGGUAUUCAACUUUACUACUGUGGACUUUCUUGUUUUCUUUUAUUAGCAUCUCGUGUAUGGGUUCAGUAUCUUAAACCGCACCCAACAAUUCGUUUUGUGUAAUCAUCCGAAUUUAGUUGGAUCAACUAGUUGUCUUUGAAAAUACAUGGGGUCUAACAACCGCACCCAAUAAUUCGUUUGGCAAUCUUAGAGGACUUACUCCAAUAUACUUUCUUGAGAAUCAACUAGACAGUCGGGCUCAAUCUAGAGAAAAGUAUAUCAAAGAGUUUAUAUCUCUAACUAUUAAUUCAAUCUGCAACCAGCAAAUAGAAAUCUGCGAGCCCGAUUGAAUAUAAGAGGAAUAACUUGAAAAGAUGUUGAGCUGCUUUUUAUUGGUCAAUGUGGGCUGCAUGGGGCUCUUGGGAGAGAAAGAAAGCAUAUGGAUCUUCUACAUUGAUCAAAAUAUGUUCCAGCUGAAGUGGGAGAUGUGCCUUGGGAUAUGAAGGAGCAGCAAAAGGGGAUGGUAAGAGAGCUACUGUUUGGGACAGUUUUUCUCACACUUUCGGUGAUAGCAGUUGAUGCUAUUGAUGAUACAAAUCUUCCCCCAAUAUAUGUGAAUAACACAGGUCUUUCUGCAUGAGUUGGAAGGCUUAAUCUGGACUGGGUCGAUCCUGAUCAGUCAACUAAAUGAGGCUUUCAUCGUGCAAUGUCUCUUGCUGGUAGUGAACUUUUAGAGAGGGAAGGAAUAUUGUAACUGUUUCAGUGGGCUAAGAUGUAAGAACUCAUUUGGAACAAAUGCAAACGCAUAGACUUUUCCCAUUAUUAGACCGGGUAAGUAAUGCGAAGGUGGCAGCAGAGUUAGAGCUGCAGUUGUUUCUAGGGAUGGACAUGCUAAAUUAUUAGGUGCAUUUGAGACACUGGCAGCAAGGAUGAGCCUGAUUGGGAUAUACCAACGGGUGAAGACGCUUCCCUAGGUUAUGCAAUUGAAGAUAUUCGUCAAGGAAAGACAGGUGCACCCAUAGCUCGGAACUGGGUUUGAUCUGGCAUGAUCGAGCUGUCCAUGAUUUAAUUCAAAUUUUCUUUUGAAAGGGUCUAUCUUGCAGAUGGUCGUUGUUGUUGAUGGCGACGAUAGAGAAAACGAAGGAGAUCUAAUAAUGGCAGCAGAGUUGGCAAACUUGUCAUUGAUGUGGAUGAUUCCAGUUAUAUGUGGUGUAGAAACUGGUGCCCCUUAUCUUGUCUUUGGAUUUUCUAGAAUUAUAUAGAUGUGCACAUGUUUGUUUCUGUAGAUGUGUACAUGUUUGUACACCAGUGUAAACCAAGAUUUUAGAAAAAUGAGAAUUAUAUAGUCAUAUGGGUACUCUUUUUGUAGCUCUCGAAAAGUGCUUUCGGAAUAUAUAAAGUUUGUGAAUUUUGGAUGA